rnacentral:rRNA from 1 species
UACGUAGGGUGCGAGCGUUGUCCGGAAUUAUUGGGCGUAAAAGAGCUCGUAGGCGGUGUGUCACGUCGGCCGUGAAAACCUGCAGCUUAACUGUGGCGUGCGGUCGAUACGGCAUCACUGGAGUUCGCAGGGAGACUGGAAUUCCUGGUGUAGCGGUGAAUGCGCAGAUAUCGGAGACACUAUGCGAAGCAGCUCGCUGGGGGGACGUACUGACGCUGAGAACGCGAAAAAAGCGUGGGGGGAGCUAAAAAACAGAUAGAUACCGUGUAG